ACCUACCGCUGCCAACCUAUCUAUCACUGCUAAUCUAUCACUGCUAAUCUAUCACUGCUAAUCUAUCACUGCUAAUCUAUUGCCGCCAACCUACCUACCACUGCCAACCUACCUACCGCUGCCAACCUAUCUAUCGCUGCCAAUCUAUAUAGGGUAAAUCAUGGUCCCAUUUGGUCCCAUUUUGUAAAAUGGGAUCAAAUGGGACCAGAAUCACUAAUUUAUUAGUAAAACAUGAUCUGGGACUAGAUUUAUAAUAUAAACAGUGUAAAGUGACUAAUUUGCUAAACACUAUAUGGGACCAGGACUAAGAUAUCUAAUAAUGGGACUGAGGAAAAAUUUGGUCCCAGUCCCAUGCAUGGUCACAUGGCCAGU
rnacentral:sRNA from 2 species